GCCAGUGUGGUGUAGUGGUUUGAACAUUGGACUAUGACUCUGGAGAUCAAUGUUUGAAUCCUGGCUUAGCCA